AACGAACGCUGGCGGCGUGGCUAAGGCAUGCAAGUCGAACGGUCAAUACUCAACGGGUAACUGGAGGGUAUGAUAGUGGCGAACGGGUGAGGAAUUCAUGGAUAACGUACCCCAGACACAGGAAUAGCGGCGGGGAAACCCUUUGCGAAAGUGCCGGUAAUGCCUGAUGACCCCGAUGGAUCGCACGAUCUGUCGGGCAAGGGUCAGCCGGUCUGGGAUCGGUUCAUGUCCAUCAGUUAGUUGGCGGGUAACGGCCCACCAAGACUAUGACGGGUAUCGGGCGUGAGAGCGUGCCGACACAUCGGAACUGAGACACUGUCCGGACACUACGGGUGCUGCAGCAACGAGUAUUCCGCAAUGGAC
rnacentral:rRNA from 1 species